rnacentral:tRNA from 1 species
GGCUAUGUAGCUCAGUGGCAGAGCGGGCGUUUCAUAAGCGCCAUGUCACAGGUUCGAAUCCUGUCAUAGCCA